rnacentral:rRNA from 1 species
CCUACGGGGGGCAGCAGUGAGGAAUAUUGGUCAAUGGACGAGAGUCUGAACCAGCCAAGUAGCGUGAAGGAUGACUGCCCUAUGGGUUGUAAACUUCUUUUAUAUGGGAAUAAAAUGUUCCACGUGUGGGAUUUUGUAUGUACCAUAUGAAUAGGGAUCGGCUAACUCCGUGCCAGCAGCCGCGGUAAUACGGAGGAUCCGAGCGUUAUCCGGAUUUAUUGGGUUUAAAGGGAGCGUAGGUGGAUUGUUAAGUCAGUUGUGAAAGUUUGCGGAUCAACCGUAAAAUUGCAGUUGAAACUGGCAGUCUUGAGUACAGUAGAGGUGGGCGGAAUUCGUGGUGUAGCGGUGAAAUGCUUAGAUAUCACGAAGAACUCCGAUUGCGAAGGCAGUUCACUGGACUGCAACUGACACUGAGGCUCGAAAGUGUGGGUAUCAAACAGGAUUAGAUACCCCUGUAGUC